AUUGAACGCUGGCGGCAGGCCUAACACAUGCAAGUCGAGCGGAUGAAGGGAGCUUGCUCCUGGAUUCAGCGGCGGACGGGUGAGUAAUGCCUAGGAAUCUGCCUGGUAGUGGGGGAUAACGUCCGUAAACGGGCGCUAAUACCGCAUACGUCCUGAGGGAGAAAGUGGGGGAUCUUCGGACCUCACGCUAUCAGAUGGGCCUAGGUCGGAUUAGCUAGUUGGUGGGGUAAAGGCCUACCAAGGCGACGAUCCGUAACUGGUCUGAGAGGAUGAUCAGUCACACUGGAACUGAGACACGGUCCAGACUCCUACGGGAGGCAGCAGUGGGGAAUAUUGGACAAUGGGCGAAAGCCUGAUCCAGCCAUGCCGCGUGUGUGAAGAAGGUCUUCGGAUUGUAAAGCACUUUAAGUUGGGAGGAAGGGCAGUAAGUUAAUACCUUGCUGUUUUGACGUUACCAACAGAAUAAGCACCGGCUAACUUCGUG
rnacentral:rRNA from 1 species